rnacentral:rRNA from 1 species
GACGGGGGGCGCAAGCGUUAUUCGGAAUUAUUGGGCGUAAAGGGCGCGUAGGCGGUUGAAUAAGUCAGAUGUGAAAGCCCUUGGCUUAACCAAGGAAGUGCAUUUGAUACUAUUUGACUUGAGUAUGGGAGAGGGAAGUGGAAUUCCUGGUGUAGAGGUGAAAUUCGUAGAUAUCAGGAGGAACACCGGUGGCGAAAGCGACUUCCUGGACCAAUACUGACGCUGAGGCGCGAAGGCGUGGGGAGCAAACAGG